CCCUGAGUAGCUCAGUUGGUUAGAGCAUUGACCCACUAUGCCAAAGUUGUGGGUUCGAUCCCUGGUCAGGGC
rnacentral:tRNA from 1 species